ACUAUCUUCAAAAGAAUAUGCCACAUUGAACCUGCCAGUUGUGGGUGCAGCCUGGUACCAGGCAGCCUGAUCCUGACCUAAAGUAAAUUUCCGAGAGAAGUCUCACCUGGGUUCUGAAUUUGCAGUAACAGGUGUGAGCAUUCUAGCAGCAGUUUGAUGAUCAUGUAUGAUACUGCAAACAGGA
ensembl:snoRNA